CAAAGCUCCUCUUACACGCUCUCGCUGUUUCUCUCUAUCUGUCUCUCUCUCUGAGCUAGCUAAGCUGCUCUUCUCAGCUUCUAGGGUUUCUUUUCUUUUCCUUCUCCUUUACCAGGGAGCUGAAACGUCACCAAAACCUUCUUCUUAAUCGUGCACAUUUUACCUUUUAAUCUCCACAUUUCACCUCCAUUAUCGCUUUGUAUCUUCAAACGAAAUCCAAGCCCCUCCACACCACCAAUACCAAUCGAUUCAUGGCCAAAACCAAACCUGGCAAAAAGGACCUUGAUUCCUACACUAUCAAAGGCACCAACAAAGUUGUUCGACCUGGUGAUUGUGUGUUGAUGCGCCCAUCGGACUCCGAUAAGCCUCCCUACGUGGCGCGUGUUGAGAAAAUUGAGGCCGAUCAUCGCAAUAACGUCAAAGUCCGGGUCAGAUGGUACUAUAGGCCUGAGGAGUCAAUCGGUGGCCGCCGUCAAUUCCAUGGGGCGAAAGAGCUCUUCUUAUCGGACCAUUACGAUGUGCAAAGUGCACACACAAUUGAAGGCAAGUGCAUAGUGCAUUCCUUCAAGAACUACACUAAGCUUGAAAAUGUUGGAGCUGAGGAUUACUUUUGUAGAUUCGAAUACAAGGCUGCAACUGGCGGGUUCACCCCUGACCGCGUAGCUGUGUACUGUAAAUGUGAGAUGCCAUACAAUCCAGAUGAUCUAAUGGUGCAGUGCGAGGGUUGCAAAGAUUGGUUUCAUCCUUCUUGUAUGGGUAUGACAAUUGAAGAAGCCAAAAAAUUGGAUCACUUUCUGUGUUCUGACUGUUCCUCUGAUGAUGAUGCCAAAAGAUCAUUGAAUGCAUUCCCAGUAUCACCAUCUGUUGAGGCCAAGGAAUGUGUUGAUUUCUCAGCCUUGGUGCUUAAGAGAGCAUUUUCACUGUGCAAUCAAAGUUUAAUUUUGUCACCUAUAGGGAUGUAACUAAUGGUAAAGUGCCAACUUUAUUUUGAAGGUGGAUGUAGUAGUUAUUUUAGUAUGCAUGGAAAAAAUUUUCUAUAAAGUCUGAAAUAGAAGAAAUAACUAGGAGGUGCAAUUCUUAAGGCUUGCAUACUGGGUUUGCGACAUCAUAUAGGGAAAUGAAAAAAGUAGGAAUGUUGUAAAAGAAUAAAAUACUCUUGUGUGUUGAUAUUGCAGUUGUGUUGAUUUGUGUCAAGUUUAUCCUAGGCUGAUUGUAUACUUGUUUGCUAAUCGCUAAUUUUGGCUCCAAAUAUUGCAUUCUAAGGCCUCUCUCAAUGGUAAAGAUGAGUGUGCUACACAUUUCAUGACUAUCAUGUAAGGAUCACAGCUACUUUUCCUCAUCUUAUUCUACCUUGGGCCCUUGGUCUAGCUGCUAGUGAUCUUUCUUGAUAAGUAUGAAAACAUGGAGGAAUAUUUUGCAUUUUCUUUCAUAGUUUUGAAACAGUCUCUAGGAUGUUGAGAAGGGACAGCUGAAUGUUACCUAAAUGAAUUAUGUUCAAUAUAUGUGGAAUUAAGAAUUGCUGACUCAAGCUUGAGCAUGACUAUUUCCACUGGUGGCAGUGAAAACUAUUUAUAUUAUCAUGAUGUUCCAUCAAAAGGAUUUUUGCCGAGCUAGUUUUAUUUUAAUAUAAACCUCAGAGCUGAGACUUGCAAUAUAAACCUCAGACUAUGUUCUCUGGUUAAAAAGGGUGACCCAUUGCAUGAAGCAUCCCAUCCCACACUUUAGUGGGCUUUGGGGAGAGUUGAUGUAAGCAGCCUUACCCAUGCUUUGCAGAAAGGCUGUUCCAUGGCUCAAAUCAAACCCUACAAAUAAAAUGCACAUGGACAUUGGGUAGCAUUUUAUUGGGACUUCUUUUUUAGUUUCUUAACAAGCACGCCAGCUGCUGCUGCUGCUGCUUCUUAUUAAGUAGAUUUUUUUUUUGUUAUCGAUUCUUUUACCAAAAAAAAAAAUUGUCAAAAGUGCUGGUGUAUGAUGAUUUGGUGUGCAGUGGAUUACAUGAGCCGUCUGUUUCUAGCCUUAGCAUUUUAGCAUUACCGCUUAUUACUGGAUAUGGAUAUUAUAUGCAAAGGAUUUUUGUUUUCAUUGUAAGUGGGUUUCCUGAUGAUUGCAGAAACUUGUACCUUUCUGGUGGCAUCAUUUUGACUUCAACAACUCACAUAUGUAUGAAAAGAUCAUGUGUAAAAGUUUUGGACAUACUUUCACCUUAGUAAACUUUCUUUAGGAUUACUUUCCUUUAUAUUUUAUCUUAUCUCUGCUGCUUAUUACAUGUCUAAAUACUCUAGAAUUUGGGAUGGCAUCUUUAUUGUUUAGUUGUCUAAACUCUAAAUGUCCAUUUCCUUGAGCUCCAUUGUUGUUUGGAUGCCAAAUAUUGUCAUAUAUUCUGUUUCUUCUUUACAUUUACUGGUAGCUUGGUGAAUGUCGAUUUUAUAUACAAAGGAUUUUAGUUUUCUUAUUGCAAAGAUUUCUUGAUGGUUGCUGAAACAUGUAACUUUUGGGUGGUUCUGUGUUGCAAUAUUAUUUUGACUUUUCUAACUUGCAUAUUUGAGAGAAUAUCUGUGCAAGUAUCUGACAUGGUACUUGUACCAUUAGCAUACUUUCUUUAUGCUUUCUUUCUGUUAAAUUUAUCUUCUUUUUCUGCAUCUCUUACUAAAAGUCUUUGUUCUUAAGAGUUUGGAAUGGCAUUUUAUUGCUUAGGUGUCCAAAUAUGCAUUUCCUUGAAUUCUUAUGUGUUGUGUGGCAGUUAAAUAUUGCUGAAGUCCUCCUGGUAUGCUGAUUUAGGGAUUUUUUUUUUAUACGAUGGAUUGAUCUGAACAAGUCUUGAUUUGUGUAACUAAUGUUCAUGAGCAGGUGGCAAACUCCUUAGAUGCCUCUUUUUGUAGGGAAUUGUAUUACUUGUUCAUUCCUGAGGCCAUUUUGGCCCAAAGAAAAUACAGUUAAUUCAUUCAUGGAUUUAAGUGUCAUUCAUGGAGUGUUAAUUUAUCAAAAGAAUAAAACUUUUGAAUGAUAACUGAAUUAUUGCAAAAGAUAGAGCUGUAGCCGAUGUAAGUGUAAAUGGCAUAUUUUGUUUGUGAGGAAAAGCUAAUGAAUUUAUGUCAAAUGCUUUGAAGAAGAAGGAUUUCUUUUGUUCACGAGCAUGGAGAAGAAUAUUUGUAUUAAUUCAGUUAGAAAGUAAAUUUUGUGGUUAUUUUGGUCAUUAUAUUACUUGUAAUGUACCUGAUAUAGGAUUGGCAUUUUCAAUUUUGUGUCCUUUAUUUACUUUAUGAUGUGUUUGGUCUUGUCUUGAUUUUUUAUGCUAGGUGGAGACAAAGAGAAGGAAGAGAUGACUGAUAAUUGUGAUGUGUGACAGGGAGGUACUUUUCUUGCAAAUUAGCUCCAGUAUCUUCUUGUUGCCCUGUAGUUGAAUUGUACAGUCCUGAGAAGAUGCUAUAUUUGCACAAACGAGAGGCUUUAUUAUUAUUUAUCA
rnacentral:misc_RNA from 1 species